CAUAACUAGUUUUAAAAGACCUCAUUAAGUUAUGCAUGUCAAAUAUGAGUGAUUUGCUUAUACUAUUUAUGUAGAUUUAAGUCUACAUUAUGACUUCUUUAUUUUCACUACAUGAAAUUAUGUUAACCGAUCCAAACUAUGGGAUUGAUUGAGAAACUUGCAAAAUAGAUUCGUAUCAGAGAUAAACUCUGAUAUCCUGGAUAUUCCUGACCUU
rnacentral:lncRNA from 1 species